CAAUCCCAAUCCCUUGACGCCUCCAUAAUUCCUCGGUUUGCUUAACGAAACCCUAACUAGAAAAGGGCAGGCAGACAUUGAUAGCAGCUUGAUGGCGACGGAAAUAAUCUCUGGAUCUAGGAGUUCGUCGGAAUCUGGGAAGAAGAAGAAGGAGGCAAAAAUCUCUGGAUCUUCGAGUUCUCCCCCAAAGAAUAAGGAAAAGGAAAAGGAAAAGUUAAAGGAGGAGGAGGAGGUCGAGAAAAGUAUCUAUGUUCGUGUGAGUGCCUAUGACGAGGGUGUUAAUGAGUUUGGCAGGAGUCCAGAAGUGACGGAUUGGUACCUAAUUAAAUUAUCGGCCAAGAAAUGAACGAGAUUGGAAGAGUUGAAGAGCCCCUUUCUGUGGAACCCAUCGGCAGGAAAAUGCCACUUCCGCGGCGGAGCUGCUCUGUAGCUCUGGGCUCCACCAUAUACUGCACUAUUAAUAAUGCUUGUGAUGCCGUCCGUGUCCUUGCCAUGGACACUAGUAAUAUUAAUAUUGAUUGCAAAGAAGUUGCUCUAUUGAACCUUGGAAAUGAAGCCUCUCUUAUCGACGAAGUGACUGCUGAUGAUGGUAAGAUCUAUGUCUUUUGUGAUAGUAAGCGAUACAACUCCUCCAUCGAUAAUAUAUUUCUGUGCAAUGUUUUCGACCCCACAAAUAAUACGUGGAAGCCCAUUAAUCCUCCAACACCCUCAGAAGCACUGCCCUUUAUCUGUCCGGUUGAUACCUUUUCGGUGUAUGAUGACACUGCCAGGAGGAUUCUUUUGGGGUCGCUUGGAGGUAGGGAUUCUGAUAGUGGUUUUUUAAUUUCCUAUAACCCCAUUUGAAGAGUAGGAGCCGCCCUGCAUUAUUCACCACUUCCGUCUUUGAAGAAUUAUUUUAUAUUGAACCCCAUUUGAAGAGUAGGAGCCGCCCUGCAUUCUUUGAUAAUACUCUUUACUGGAUGGGGGUUUGGAAUGGCUUCUUGGAUUAUUCUGGCAUAUAUGCUUACGAUUUGGAUCUCCAAACUCCCAUCUACGGCCAUAUCUUCGGUAUACAUCCUUCCUUUUGGGGUUGUUCCCAUAGUUGUUAUAUUCAACUUCAUCAUUUCCGUGGCGACCUCUUCUUUUUGAUUUGGCUUCACGAUCAAGUUGUUCGAUGCGAGAGAGUGCGAAUUUCCAUUUCCAAACGGGAAGGUCAUCAGACUAGUGUCGAAGCUCAUGUCCUUUCCACCCAAGCCUAUCAAUUGUUAGACACCUCUCCAUAUUAUCAAAUCGGUGCUGUGCUGCUGUAAGUAAGGGGAGAGGGUCGCAACUGUAGAGGCUUUAGCUCGUUGAGAUGGUGAUAGACUUGAAAAGAAGAAGCAGGCUUUCGUCAAAGUUCUUGAGAAGAGGCCCAGAUACGUCGUCACUUGGGGCUAUGGACCCCACCAACCCAUCCUAAUGAGGAGCUAGAGACUGAUAGGAGGUUUAGGAUUGUGACAGAAAAGAAAUAUGGAGGAAAGAUUAGUAGUAGAUUAAAAGUAGAUUAGAAGCUACGAUGAGCAUGAUGAUCCUAAAAGGAUUUCUCUCUCAAAACAAUGUUCCACCACCAAAUUAUCCAUUGGAAACAAUUGCGAUUGUUGUCUUU